UGCAGUCGAGCGGUAGAGAGAAGCUUGCUUCUCUUGAGAGCGGCGGACGGGUGAGUAAUGCCUAGGAAUCUGCCUGGUAGUGGGGGAUAACGUUCGGAAACGGACGCUAAUACCGCAUACGUCCUACGGGAGAAAGCAGGGGACCUUCGGGCCUUGCGCUAUCAGAUGAGCCUAGGUCGGAUUAGCUAGUUGGUGGGGUAAUGGCUCACCAAGGCGACGAUCCGUAACUGGUCUGAGAGGAUGAUCAGUCACACUGGAACUGAGACACGGUCCAGACUCCUACGGGAGGCAGCAGUGGGGAAUAUUGGACAAUGGGCGAAAGCCUGAUCCAGCCAUGCCGCGUGUGUGAAGAAGGUCUUCGGAUUGUAAAGCACUUUAAGUUGGGAGGAAGGGCAGUAAAUUAAUACUUUGCUGUUUUGACGUUACCGACAGAAUAAGCACCGGCUAACUCUGUGCCAGCAGCCGCGGUAAUACAGAGGGUGCAAGCGUUAAUCGGAAUUACUGGGCGUAAAGCGCGCGUAGGUGGUUAGUUAAGUUGGAUGUGAAAUCCCCGGGCUCAACCUGGGAACUGCAUUCAAAACUGACUGACUAGAGUAUGGUAGAGGGUGGUGGAAUUUCCUGUGUAGCGGUGAAAUGCGUAGAUAUAGGAAGGAACACCAGUGGCGAAGGCGACCACCUGGACUGAUACUGACACUGAGGUGCGAAAGCGUGGGGAGCAAACAGGAUUAGAUACCCUGGUAGUCCACGCCGUAAACGAUGUCAACUAGCCGUUGGGAGCCUUGAGCUCUUAGUGGCGCAGCUAACGCAUUAAGUUGACCGCCUGGGGAGUACGGCCGCAAGGUUAAAACUCAAAUGAAUUGAC
rnacentral:rRNA from 1 species